GGGGGGGGGGGGGGGGGGGGGGGGGGGGGGGGGGGGGGGGGGGGGGGGGGGGGGGGGGGCACAGCCACGGCACCGGCACCGACACCGACACCAACACCGGCACCGGCACCGGCACCACCGGCACCGGCACGGGAAAGGACACCGGGAGGGACAGGGGGACACGGGCAGGGACAGGGACACGGGCACGGGUGAAGGAUUUGGGGGGUGAGGAGAUGUGGCAGUGACGGGGGGACACGGAAGGGACAGGGCAGAGAGAGCGGGGACACGGGCAGGGGGACGUGGCACAAGCAGGGACACGGGCGGGGACAGGGACACGAGCAGGGACAGGGACACGGGCGGGGACACGGCAGGGGUGGGGGACACUGUAGGGACACAAGGGACACAACAGGGACGCCGGGGACAUGGGCAGGACAUGGGCGACACGGCGCGGGAGCGGGAGGAUGUGGCAGGGACAGGGGGACACAGGGGGACGUGGCAGGGACACGGACACGGCCGGGGGGACACGGAGGGGACAGAGCUGGGGCAGGGGACACCGCGGGGACACCGCGGGGACACCGCGGGGACACGGACGCGCUCCAGAGCCUGGCGGGGACACAGCGGCGCUCUGGGGACACGGGCGAGGGGACCCAGGGCAGGGGGCCACGGGGAGGUGACAGGAGGUGACAGGAGGCGACACACAGUGACACGCGGUGACAGCGGCCUCACCGUGUCCAGUUGUAGGUCGGGGGGGGGUUGCCGUCCCCCAGGCAGGUCAGCGCCGCCCCCUCCAUCCCCUCCUGCCACUCGGCCGUGUGGCCCAGCACCGACGCGUCCGACAGGUCUGGGGACACCGAGGCGACACUCAGGGGACAAAGUCCCGCUGCCCUGCUGUGCCCCCCGUGGCCACGGUGUCCCCCCCGCCGUGUCCUUCAUCCUCCCCGUGCCCCCUCCGUGUCCCCAGCUCCCUCCAUGCCAGCAUCUCCCAGUGUCACCUGUGUCCCCACACUCCCAACGCCGCCGUGCCCCCCACGUCCCCAACACCCUCCACCUGCCCAGUGUCCCCAAUGUCACCAGUGUCCCCAGUGUCCCUCAAGGCUCUCCAUGUCCCCAAGGCCCUGCGUGUCCCCAGUGCUCGUCACGUUCCCCUGUCCCCAAUGCCCCCCAUGUCCCCAAUGCCCCCCACGUCUCCCAGAACACCCCAUGCCCCCAGUGUCCCCCGUGGGCCCGCCCCCCCGGCGCUGCCCGGUGGCGCACAGGCGACGCUGAGCAGGUGCGUGAUCCUCUUCUCGUGGCGCAGCCCGGGGUGCGCCACCACGCAGGUGAGGCUCUUGCCGUUCAUGCUGCGCCCGGGCACCAGGAAGAACUCGCUGGUGACCGAGGCCGAGCGCAUGGUGCCAUGUCCCCGGUGUCCCCCCAUCCGCAAUGUCCCCUAAUCCCCGGCGCCCAUCGCGUCCCCGGUGCCCUCCAGGCACUGCGUGUCCUCAGUGUCUUCUAUGUCCCCAAUGUCCCCCAUCCCCGAUGUCCCCACAUCCCCAACGCCCAUUGUGUCCCCUUUGCCCUCCAUGUCCCACAUGUGCCCAGUGCCCACCACACCCUCCGUGUCCCCCGCGUCCCCGAUGUCCCCAAUCUCUCCCGUGCCCUGUGUCUCAUGUCCCCCAUGUCCCUUGUCCCCUGCCGCCCAUACACCCAUAUCCCCAUGUCCCUCAUGUCCCCUGCGUCUCAUGUCUCCCAUGACCCCCCUGUCCCCCAUAUCACAU
rnacentral:lncRNA from 12 species